GCUGUGGUUAGGGAACUAGAAGCAACAGAUGAAGCAGAAGGAGAAGCAGCCAGACCUGGGAGGCAGAGGUCAACAGGAUGCCUACAAACAGGCUCAAAUAAUAAUCCACGGACCUGGCACACUACAUCUUUCUAAAAUGAAUGGCUCGUUGGCCUGCUGUACCACUGUGCAAGUGACCAUAGGGGUGAGGAAGGAGAACGGGCACCUCGCCAAUCAUCUGGACCUCAGGGCAUGAAAACACAGAAAAGGGAUUCAGUUCCAGGAAGGACCAGGCUGCCUUUCACAUCCAGGCUAAAUUGCCCUUCAGUUCCCUGUGAGGAGCAAAGAACACUUAUGGUACAUAAAGAAGUAUACAGUGGAUUGAC